GACGAACGCUGGCGGCGUGCUUAACACAUGCAAGUCGAACGGAAAGGCCCUGCUUUUGUGGGGUGCUCGAGUGGCGAACGGGUGAGUAACACGUGAGUAACCUGCCCUUGACUUUGGGAUAACUUCAGGAAACUGGGGCUAAUACCGGAUAGGAGCUCCUGCUGCAUGGUGGGGGUUGGAAAGUUUCGGCGGUUGGGGAUGGACUCGCGGCUUAUCAGCUUGUUGGUGGGGUAGUGGCUUACCAAGGCUUUGACGGGUAGCCGGCCUGAGAGGGUGACCGGCCACAUUGGGACUGAGAUACGGCCCAGACUCCUACGGGAGGCAGCAGUGGGGAAUAUUGCACAAUGGGCGGAAGCCUGAUGCAGCAACGCCGCGUGCGGGAUGACGGCCUUCGGGUUGUAAACCGCUUUCGCCUGUGACGAAGUGUGAGUGACGGUAAUGGUAGAAGCACCGGCUAACUACGUG
rnacentral:rRNA from 1 species